UACGUAGGGUGCGAGCGUUGUCCGGAAUUACUGGGCGUAAAGGGCUCGUAGGUGGUUUGUCGCGUUGUUCGUGAAAACUCACAGCUCAACUGUGGGCGUGCGGGCGAUACGGGCAGCCUGGAGUACUGCAGGGGAGACUGGAAUUCCUGGUGUAGCGGUGGAAUGCGUAGAGAUCGGGAAGAAUACCAGUGGCGAAGGCGUUCUGCUGGGCCGUUGCUGACACUGAGGCGCGACAGCGUGGGGAGCAAACAGG
rnacentral:rRNA from 1 species